rnacentral:rRNA from 1 species
AUUGAACGCUGGCGGCAGGCCUAACACAUGCAAGUCGAACGAGUGGCGGACGGGUGAGUAAUGUCUGGGAAACUGCCUGAUGGAGGGGGAUAACUACUGGAAACGGUAGCUAAUACCGCAUACCAUCGGAUGUGCCCAGAUGGGAUUAGCUAGUAGGUGGGGUAACGGCUCACCUAGGCGACGAUCCCUAGCUGGUCUGAGAGGAUGACCAGCCACACAGGAACAACGACACGGUCAAGAAUCUAACGGGAGGCAGCAGUGGGGAUAAUUGCACAAGGGGCGCAAGCCUGAUGCAGCCAAGCCGCGUGUAUGAAGAAGGCCUUCGGGUUGAAAAGUACUUUCAGCGGAGAGGCGUUACCCGAAGAAGAAGCGACGGCAAACUCCGUGCCAGCAGCCGCGGUAGUUC